rnacentral:rRNA from 1 species
CCCUUAGAUGUUCUGGGCCGCACGCGCGCUACACUGAUGCAUUCAACGAGUCUAAAACCUGCUCUGAUAGGGGUGGGUAAUCUUUUGAAUGUGCAUCGUGAUUGGGAUAGAUGAUUGCAAUUUUUCAUCUUCAACGAGGAAUGCCUAGUAAACGCAAGUCAUCAGCUUGCAUUGAUUACGUCCCUGCCCUUUGUACACACCGCCCGUCGCACCUACCGAUUGAAUGGUUCGGUGAAGAUCUCGGACUUCGAUAUUUAUUCUUUAUUGAGUUUAUAUUGUGGGAAGUUAUCUAAACCUCAUCAUUUAGAGGAAGGUGAAGUCGUAACA